GUCGGUGCUCAGGGUGAGAGUGAUCCUUCCUGCAGAUGUGUUUCCUCUCUGAGCGCUCUGCUCUGACAGGUGUGUUUGUACCUGCAGGUGCUGCAGAUCGUCAUUGAACUCACUGUCCUCAUGGUCCAGGUCACCAUGGUUACCUGCAGCUCCACAAUGGGGCUCUUGAGUGGAGCGGUGGUGUGGGGUCCUCUGACUGUGAGCUCCUAUUUACUCACAUGUUCACCUCAUGAUUUACCUGCUGGAGUUCUGAGACACACACACACCUGUCCUCUCUCUCUGGUCGCUACAGUUCAUCUUGUCCGGGUCUCUGGCUGUUUCCACAGCAACCAGCUGUCAAGACUGUCUGGUUAGUGACAUAGACACACCUGUACCUGAGGCACACCCGUGUGAAAUUCAGAUUCUCUGUGAAAGUUUUAAAGGUUCCAGGUGUGCUAACUGCUCUCUGCUCAACAGCUUUUUGCUGUUCAGUGUGGUUGCUAUGGUUACCUCAUGUGCGUCCCUCGUCAUCAACACUCUGGAUGCAGUCGGUUUCUACGGGGAAUAUAAUAAUUAUAAUGAUAAUAAUAAUGUA